UACGUAGGGUGCAAGCGUUGUCCGGAAUUAUUGGGCGUAAAGAGCUCGUAGGCGGCUUGUCGCGUCUGCUGUGAAAACCCGAGGCUCAACCUCGGGCCUGCAGUGGGUACGGGCAAGCUAGAGUGCGGUAGGGGAGAUUGGAAUUCCUGGUGUAGCGGUGGAAUGCGCAGAUAUCAGGAAGAACACCCGUGGCGAAGGCGGCUCUCUGGAACGCAACUGACGCUGAGACGCGAAAGCGUGGGGAGCAAACAGG
rnacentral:rRNA from 1 species